rnacentral:rRNA from 1 species
AUUGAACGCUGGCGGCAUGCUUUACACAUGCCAGUCGAACGGCAGCGCGGGCUUCGGCCUGGCGGCGAGUGGCGAACGGGUGAGUAAUGCAUCGGAACGUGCCCAGUAGUGGGGGAUAGCCCGGCGAAAGCCGGAUUAAUACCGCAUACGACCUGAGGGUGAAAGCGGGGGACCGAAAGGCCUCGCGCUAUUGGAGCGGCCAAUGUCGGAUUAGCUAGUUGGUGGGGUAAAGGCUUACCAAGGCGACGAUCCGUAGCUGGUCUGAGAGGACGACCAGCCACACUGGGACUGAGACACGGCCCAGACUCCUACGGGAGGCAGCAGUGGGGAAUUUUGGACAAUGGGGGCAACCCUGAUCCAGCCAUGCCGCGUGCGGGAAGAAGGCCUUCGGGUUGUAAACCGCUUUUGUUCGGGAAGAAAUCCUCUGGGCUAAUACCCCGGGGGGAUGACGGUACCGGAAGAAUAAGCACCGGCUAACUACGUG